UCUGCCUCUGUGGAUGCUCUGUGAUGCAGA
rnacentral:piRNA from 1 species